AACGAACGCUGGCGGCAGGCUUAACACAUGCAAGUCGAACGAGAUCUUCGGAUCUAGUGGCAGACGGGUGAGGAACACGUGGGAACAUCCCUUUCAGUUCGGAAUAACGUUGGGAAACUAACGCUAAUACCGGAUACGUCCUUCGGGAGAAAGAUUUAUCGCUGAAAGAUUGGCCCGCGUCUGAUUAGCUAGUUGGUGAGGUAAUGGCUCACCAAGCCGACGAUCCAUAGCUGGUUUGAGGGGAUGAUCAGCCACACUGGGACUGAUACACGGCCCAGACUCCUACGGGAGGCAGCAGUGGGGAAUCUUAGACAAUGGGGGCAACCCUGAUCUAGCCAUGCCGCGUGAGUGAUGAAGGCCUUAGGGUUGUAAAGCUCUUUCAGCUGGGAAGAUAAUGACGGUACCAGCAGAAGAAGCCCCGGCUAACUCCGUGCCAGCCGCCGCAGUAA
rnacentral:rRNA from 1 species